CACGGGGGGAGCAAGCGUUGUUCGGAUUUACUGGGCGUAAAGGGCGCGUAGGCGGCCACCGCAAGUCGGUUGUGAAAUCUCUGGGCUUAACCCAGAAAGGUCAACCGAUACUGCGGGGCUAGAGUGCAGAAGGGGCAACUGGAAUUCUCGGUGUAGCGGUGAAAUGCGUAGAUAUCGAGAGGAACACCUGCGGCGAAGGCGGGUUGCUGGGCUGACACUGACGCUGGAAGCGCGAAAGCUAGGGGAGCGAACGGG
rnacentral:rRNA from 1 species